AGGUGUGAGUGCAGGUUUUCUGUUAUUGUGCAAGCUCACGCUGCGGCAUCCGACGCGCUGUGUCCGUCGUGACGAUAAAUGCGGAAGGCUCCGCGAAGAACCGUCGCGCUAUGUUGGUUCACUGUCCGUAACACAGGCUCUGACUGUCCGAUGGGCAGCAAAAUUAAUACGCAAGGCAAGAAUCAACUGUCGAAGUUGCAUCUACAUUCUGGCUGUAAGAGCAAGUUACGGAGCCAAGCUGCCAACACAACCACGCAGAGCAACUAACUGCCUUUCCAAGAAUGCUGCGCUUGCAUUGGUGGUCAAGUGGAGAAGAAGAGCUCCUGUUAAUGUGUCCUGCCGCACUGUUCUGGCUAAAACCUUUAUCUCCUUUCUGACAUCCUACCACCUCAAACAUCACCACUAAAGGCAUUUUGACUGCAUGCAUCUGCCUUUAUAGACACCUU